rnacentral:rRNA from 1 species
GGGAAGAGCUCAAAUUUAAAAUCUGGUUUGCUUGCAAGCCCGAGUUGUAGUCUGAAGAAACGUUUUCCAUAAGCACUGAGGCAAAAGUCCCUUGGAACAGGGCAUCAUAGAGGGUGAGAAUCCCGUCCAUGGUCUCAAGUUGUUUAUUUUGUGAUACGUUUUCAAAGAGUCAGGUUGUUUGGGAAUGCAGCCUAAAAUGGGUGGUAAAUUUCAUCUAAAGCUAAAUAUUGGCGAGAGACCGAUAGCGAACAAGUACCGUGAGGGAAAGAUGAAAAGAACUUUGAAAAGAGAGUUAAAAAGUACGUGAAAUUGUUGAAAGGGAACCGUUUGAAGCCAGUCUUACUUGCCUGUGAUCAAUUUUUGCCUCGGCAUGAAUGCACUCUCGGGUAUGGUAGGCCAACGACAGUUUGGAAUGCGAGAAAAAAAUAGAGGAAAUGUGGCCUUCGGGUGUUAUAGUCCUCUAUAAAAUAUCGUGUUCUGGACUGANGAUCGCAGCAAAAAUGUGGGCAGGUGGAUUUCUGUGGUAACUGUCGGUUAGGACAACUUGUUGACCUAGUCUUCCUUAGCCUCACUAUUUACCUUGCUUCUAAUUUGCUUANGUCGUUGGCAUAAUGGCUUUAAAUGACCC